rnacentral:rRNA from 1 species
GAUGAACGCUGGCGGCGUGCUUAACACAUGCAAGUCGAACGAUGAAAGCGGGAGCUUGCUCCUGCUGGAUUAGUGGCGAACGGGUGAGUAACACGUGAGCAAUCUGCCCCGAACUCUGGGAUAAGCGUUGGAAACGACGUCUAAUACCGGAUACGACGCGCGAAGGCAUCUUCUGCGCGUGGAAAGAACUUCGGUUCGGGAUGAGCUCGCGGCCUAUCAGCUAGUUGGUGAGGUAACGGCCCACCAAGGCGACGACGGGUAGCCGGCCUGAGAGGGGAACCGGCCACACUGGGACUGAGACACGGCCCAGACUCCUACGGGAGGCAGCAGUGGGGAAUAUUGCACAAUGGGCGCAAGCCUGAUGCAGCAACGCCGCGUGAGGGACGACGGCCUUCGGGUUGUAAACCUCUUUUAGUAGGGAAGAAGCGAAAGUGGCGGUACCUGCAGAAAAAGCACCGGCUAACUACGUGCCAGCCGCCGCAGUAACAC